rnacentral:lncRNA from 1 species
CUUAACUGAUCAAGGAUGAAAACCAAGACUUUUAUUUUCUUGUUAUUUCUUUGUGCUGAAAUUCUUAUCUUUAUUGUGGCAAUUAAGCAAUCCAAUGAUGAAAAACAACGUAUAAGAUAGAUUUAAUGAGCAAUUUCUUUCUUCUUUUAUUAUAUAUUUAAUAAAUUGUGUUUGUUCAUUUGUAGUUGGCGCAACAAAAGAAUCCAAAACCAAAUUUGCAAUAGAUCAUUGGAAAAGGACUAGUUGGAGAAGCACGUUUCCAAAAAAAGAUGUUAAAGGAGGGAAAAAAAUUGAACAAAACCCAGUAGAAUCAGGUUCAGGAGGAAAUGGCGAUGAAGGAAGUGCACAAGGCGAAGCUAUACAAAAUGGAGGUGAAAAAGAAAUAUGAAGUAGACUUGAUAGAGGAGGAAGAGGAAAAAAAUAAUAAAAAAUCUUAGGCAGGUUGGGGAUAUUGGAGAGGCGGCGUAGGUAGCAAACAAUUGUGAGUGUGUGAUGUAAGACACAUAAUUUAAUUAUUAUGAAUAUUUCGGUACAUAUUUUAUUUAGAUAUGUAUCAGUAUAUCGUAGAGGUGUAUACUACCAGAAAAAGUUAAUAAACACCUCAGUAUUAUCAGAUAGGUCUAAAAAUUAAUAAACACUCUUUAUCAACCUAUCAGAAUUAUCCACCUCAGUAGUGUACUAGUACAUAUCGAAAUAAAAUGCAUACCAAAGAAUUCACCUUUAAUUAUAACUAGAAUGGGGGUUAAUGUCUAUCUGAGACUAUCUACUACUAAUAUAAUAAAGUUAAUUACUACCAACUUUACUAAAUUACACUAAAUA